AAGACCCUUGCUUCGAUUAUGAUGCUGGUCUCAUGGGAAAUUUGGAAGGAACGAAAUGCAAGAAUUUUUUGCAACACAGCCGCUCCAACAGCGAUCAUCGUCAGCAGAAUCAAGGAGGAAGCCCACCUCUGGGCGCUUGCUGGAGCCAAGCAUUUGAGCCUACUUAUGUCGCGAGAGUAG
rnacentral:rRNA from 1 species